AUUGAACGCUGGCGGCAGGCCUAACACAUGCAAGUCGAGCGGCAGCGGAAAGUAGCUUGCUACUUUGCCGGCGAGCGGCGGACGGGUGAGUAAUGUCUGGGAAACUGCCUGAUGGAGGGGGAUAACUACUGGAAACGGUAGCUAAUACCGCAUAACGUCGCAAGACCAAAGAGGGGGACCUUCGGGCCUCUUGCCAUCAGAUGUGCCCAGAUGGGAUUAACUAGUAGGUGGGGUAACGGCUCACCUAGGCGACGAUCCCUAGCUGGUCUGAGAGGAUGACCAGCCACACUGGAACUGAGACACGGUCCAGACUCCUAGGGGAGGCAGCAGUGGGGAAUAUUGCACAAUGGGCGCAAGCCUGAUGCAGCCAUGCCGCGUGUAUGAAGAAGGCCUUCGGGUUGUAAAGUACUUUCAGCGGGGAGGAAGGUGUUGAGGUUAAUAACCUCAGCAAUUGACGUUACCCGCAGAAGAAGCACCGGCUAACUCCGUGCCAGCAGCCGCAGUAACAC
rnacentral:rRNA from 1 species